rnacentral:tRNA from 1 species
UGGCCGAUGGUGUAACUGGCAACACGUCUGAUUUUGGUUCAGAAGAGUCCAGGUUCGAGCCUGGUCGGCCAA